GAUGAACGCUGGCGGUGUGCCUAAUACAUGCAAGUCGAGCGACCGGACGAGAAGCUUGCUUUUUUGCUGUUAGCGGCGGACGGGCGAGUAACACGUGGAUAACCUACUUAUAAGACUGGGAUAACUUCGGGAAACCGGAGCUAAUACUGGAUAAUAUUUUGAACCGCAUGGUUCAAAAGUGCAAGACGGCCUUGCUGUCUCUUUUAGAUGGAUCCGCGCUGCAUUAGCUAGUUGGUAAGGUAACGGCUUACCAAGGCUACGAUGCAUAGCCGACCUGAGAGGGUGAUCGGCCACACUGGAACUGAGACACGGUCCAGACUCCUACGGGAGGCAGCAGUAGGGAAUCUUCCGCAAUGGGCGAAAGCCUGACGGAGCAACGCCGCGUGAGUGAUGAAGGUCUUCGGAUCGUAAAGCUCUGUUAUUAGGAAAGAACAUAUGUGUAAGUAACUGUGCACAUCUUGACGGUACCUAAUCAGAAAGCCACGGCUAACUACGUG
rnacentral:rRNA from 1 species